rnacentral:tRNA from 1 species
GGUAGAUUACUCAAAUGGUCAAGAGGGCAGUUUGCUAAACUGUUAGGGCCGCAAGGCUGCAUUGGUUCGAAUCCAAUAUCUACCG